GACGAACGCUGGCGGCGUGCUUAACACAUGCAAGUCGAACGGAAAGGCCCUGCUUUUGUGGGGUGCUCGAGUGGCGAACGGGUGAGUAACACGUGAGUAACCUGCCCUUGACUUUGGGAUAACUUCAGGAAACUGGGGCUAAUACCGGAUAGGAGCUCCUGCUGCAUGGUGGGGGUUGGAAAGUUUCGGCGGUUGGGGAUGGACUCGCGGCUUAUCAGCUUGUUGGUGGGGUAGUGGCUUACCAAGGCUUUGACGGGUAGCCGGCCUGUGAGGGUGACCGGCCACAUUGGGACUGAGAUACGGCCCAGACUCCAACGGGAGGCAGCAGUGGGGAGUAUUGCACAAUGGGCGGAAGCCUGAUGCAGCAACGCCGCGUGCGGGAUGACGGCCUUCGGGUUGUAAACCGCUUUCGCCUGUGACGAAGCGUGAGUGACGGUAAUGGGUAAAGAAGCACCGGCUAACUACGUG
rnacentral:rRNA from 1 species